CAUUGAAGUAAUCAAAACCUUUAAAUACCUGGGCCUAAUCAUUGAUGAUCGUUUAAAGUGGACUGACCAUAUUGACAGCGUUUGUAUGAAGCUAAGAGCAAUCCUUGCCAAAUUUUCCAUAAUUAGAUGGAAUAUCUCUUACAAAAACUUAUUAACCCUUUAUAAUGCACUAGGCGAAUCUUUUAUUGAUUAUGGCCUGAGCUCCUACGGUUUAACUUCACGUUCUCAUUUUAAUACUAUUUAUCAACUACAACUAAGAAUAUUAAAAAAAAUUGUUCCAUUCAAAAUUCUAUCAAAAUUUCA